rnacentral:tRNA from 2 species
GCCCCCGUAGCCCAACGGCAGAGGCACCGCGUUCAGGACGCGGCCGGUCCAGGUUCGAAUCCUGGCGGGGGCA